rnacentral:rRNA from 1 species
UACGUAGGUGGCGAGCGUUAUCCGGAAUUAUUGGGCGUAAAGAGCGCGCAGGUGGUUGAUUAAGUCUGAUGUGAAAGCCCACGGCUUAACCGUGAAGGGUCAUUGGAAACUGGUCGACUUGAGUGCAGAAGAGGGAAGUGGAAUUCCAUGUGUAGCGGUGAAAUGCGUAGAGAUAUGGAGGAACACCAGUGGCGAAGGCGGCUUCCUGGUCAGUAACUGACACUGAGGCGCGAAAGCGUGGGGAGCAAACAGGAUUAGAUA